ACGCACGCUGGCGGCGUGCUUCACACCUGCCAGUCGAACGGAAAGGCCCUGCUUUUGUGGGGUGCUCGAGUGGCGAACGGGUGAGUAACGCGUGAGUAACCUGCCCUUGACUUUGGGAUAACUUCAGGAAACUGGGGCUAAUACCGGAUAGGAGCUCCUGCUGCAUGGUGGGGGUUGGAAAGUUUCGGCGGUUGGGGAUGGACUCGCGGCUUAUCAGCUUGUUGGUGGGGUAGUGGCUUACCAAGGCUUUGACGGGUAGCCGGCCUGAGAGGGUGACCGGCCACAUUGGGACUGAGAUACGGCCCAGACUCCUACGGGAGGCAGCAGUGGGGAAUAUUGCACAAUGGGCGGAAGCCUGAUGCAGCAACGCCGCGUGCGGGAUGACGGCCUUCGGGUUGUAAACCGCUUUCGCCUGUGACGAAGCGUGAGUGACGGUAAUGGGUAAAGAAGCACCGGCUAACUACGUG
rnacentral:rRNA from 1 species